UUUACAUUCUACAUACAAUUAAUUCCAAAUUAAUAGUGGUGCACAGAAGGUCAACUGAACAUGAAAACAUUUAAAAUGUAUAGUCAUGCAUGCAUAUGUUCAGCAUAUAUGAAGAGUAAAGUUUUCAAUAAUAAAUGAAAAAUGAAUUCAUAUUUAUGUGGGCCUAAAUUUAGCUUUUCUUUCAAGGAAUUUCCUCUUGAAAUCAACUCCAGCUUAUAAAGUCAAAACAAGAGGAGGAAGAACUGGAGCGUGAGCGGGCCGUGCUGUCUUCAGGCCAGAGUGUCGGAGCCAGGUCCAGCCCCAGCAACUCAGAGGGAUCCUCAGAGUGCCGCCACAGACAGACAUGAAUUUUGGUAUAAGCAGUUAUGUGUUCAUUUGUUUGUACGCCACAUGGUCCUUUUGAUGGCUGUUUUUAUUUUAAUACAAGAAGUUGAUUAGA